AGCAGCCGCGGUAAUUCCAGCUCCAAUAGCGUAUAUUAAAGUUGUUGCAGUUAAAAAGCUCGUAGUUGAAUUUCGGAAUUCUUUUAUCGGUUGAAUCAACAGGUUCGUACUGAUUUUAAGAAUUUCUACCUUCUGGAGAACCUUAAUGUCAUUAAUUUGAUGUUUUGGGAAACCAGGACUGUUACCUUGAAAAAUUAGAGUGUUAAAGCAGGCUUAUGUCUGAAUAUAUUAGCAUGGAAUAAUGAAAUAGGACGGCAUGGUUCUAUUUUGUUGGUUUCUAGGAUCACCGUAAUGAUUAAUAGGGAUAGUUGGGGGCAUUAGUAUUCAAUUGUCAGAGGUGAAAUUCUUGGAUUUAUUGAAGACUAACUUCUGCGAAAGCAUUUGCCAAGGAUGUUUUCAUUAAUCAAGAACGAAAGUUAGGGGAUCGAAUGACGAUCAGAUACCGUCGUAGUCUUAACCAUAAAACUAUGGCCGACUAGGAAUCGGACGAAAGUUAAUUUUUUUCAAUGACUCGUUCGGC
rnacentral:rRNA from 1 species